AUAUAUUAUGUAAUAUAUGUGUUACACAUCAUAUUCUGAAUGAUAUAGUAAUUGUUUCCAGAUUAAGACUUCGUUUGGAAUUGCGGGGAGGUUGUGUUACGGGCGGUGUGAAACGACGAUAAAAAAAAUACCCUAUUUGUUUCCGUACGUAAUUUUACGUUCCGCAUAUUGCAGUUAGUCGGUUACGAUAUAUUUUCUGCGGUCACAUCGAAGAAAACAGAAGCAUAUCCCUAUAUGCUUUUUCUCAACUACAUUCUAUCUAAUAGCGUUAGAUCCGCCUCAAUACCAAACUAAGGCUAAUUACAUUUAAGGCAUGUUUGGGAGAGAUAUAAAAAUAUUAGGAUAAACUUUAAAUACCACCCCUGUGGCUUCGCAUUUUCUCACUUUAGUAUCCUAUGGUUUAAAGACUUAAAGUGUAUCAAUUUAAUAUUCUCUAGUUCCUUCUUUUUUUUUUCGUCAGCUCCUCUAUUAACAUUUCUUUAAAUUAUAUAUAAAAAACUUCAGGUACCCCACCUUGAUUUAUCGAAUAAUCACUUAAAUAUCUUUUAGUUUUAACUUUGUCACUGAUUUAACGAAAAAAAAAUAGUGAAGGGGAUAAUAAAGAAAGAAAAAUUAAACCACGGGGUACUACCUGUGGUUUCUUUCUUUUUUUUCGUCAGCUCCUCUGUUAACAUUUCGUUAAAUUAUAUAUAAAAAACUUCAGAUACCCCACCUAGAUUUAUCGAAUAUUCACUUAAAUACCUUUUAGUUUUAACUUUGUUACUGAUUUAACGAAAAAAAAUUAGUGAAGGGGAUAAUAAAAAGAGAAAAAUGAAACCACAUGGUACUAAAUUGAUACACUUUAAACCAAAGUGUACUAAAAUAAAAAAGUGCGAAAACAUAGAGGUGGUAUUUAGAAUUUUUCCAAAAUAUUAUAAUGUAAGAAAAACAAAAAGAAAUAGUAUAAUGAAUUUUUUUUGACAAAGAGCUGUUUGGAAUAAAAAAAAAUUAGUAAAAAUAUAGAUAACCCAUCUGAACUAUGGACUGUUUUGAUCCAACUUUUUAAAAUUUCAAUUUUACCAUCCAUCUUUUCAAUUUGUGUGAUUCGGUUUAGUCAAUAAUAUUUUGACUUCAAAAUUUAAGCUGAUUAUUUACUUCAAUAAACUUACAGUUGCGAGAAUUGUACGAAGUAUGCUAAUUAAACUUAUAAAAAUAAAUUACACAUUCAAAUUUGAAAUCAGAGUGUCGUUGACUGACUCAAAUCAAAUAAUUUGAAAGGGAAUGAUUUAAAAAAUAAGUCUUAGCUAUACUUGGUGAACUUGGUGAACUUGAGCAAUUACACACUCAAGUUCACCAAGUACGAUUUUUUACCUAAAAAAUAAGUCUUAGCUAUAUAAAAAGAAAAAGGGAAUGAUUUAAAAAAUAAGUUCACCAAGUUUUCAAAGUGAUUUUUUACUUAAAACCCCUCUAAUUUCUCCAAAAUUACACACUCAAGUUCACCAAGUACGAUUUUUUACCUAAAAAAUAAGUCUUAGCUAUAUAAAAAGAAAAAGGGAAUGAUUUAAAAAUCGGGUUGAGAGCCAACUAGUUCGACCGGUCUGACCAUGACUCUCUUUAUAAAGUGACUCAAGUUAACCCUUUGAACCUUAUAAUUCAAAAAAAUCACUUUGAAACAUUUCAAUCGGUCGUUCAACUAUCGAACUGGUCUGAUUUUUGUUAAACCGGCCGGAUUUGUUUGAUCAAGUCAUAUUAAAUUAAUUCAAUGGCUUAAAAUCAACGUAGCAAUUUUUAUUUUCUAUUAGCAUGGACUAGUCUUAUAAAAAAAAAUAAAACUUAAAAAGUUAUAUUUACUUAGAAAUAAGUAUUUUAUAAUUAAGUAUAAUAUUAUAAUAAUAAUAUAUGUAUAUUUUUCUAUAGAACAUAAUUAAAAGUGAUAAUUAUAUAUCUAUGACGCCAUGCUGAUGUCGCUGGCUAUUUGCCCUGAUUUCAUCAUGUGGUUUCACGUUUUUUCACUUUAAUAUCCUGUAAUUUAAAGUGUAUUAAUUUAUUACUCUAUAAUUUUAUUUUCUUUUUUCGUCAAUAUUUUGUUAAAUUAUAUACAAAAAAAUUUAGAUACCCCACCUAGGUUUAUCGAAUAUUCACUUUAGUACCUAUUAGUUUUAAUUUUGUCACUGAUUUAAUGAAAAAAAAAUUAGUGGAGGGAAUAAUAAAAAGAGAAAAAUAAAAUCAUGCGUACGAAAUUGAUAUACUUUAAACUACAGGGUACAAAAAUGAAAACGUGUGUAACCACAUGGGUGGUUUUUAAAGUUUUUUCUAUAAUAUUAGAUUAAAGAUUAUUCAUUUUAGUUUCUACUCUAGAUUAAAAAUAGUUGUUUAUCAUAAAUUUAUCAUCUUUUGUCCAACUCAGGGGAAUGAUUCACUGCUUUACAAAGACCGUGAACGAUUCAUGGCUUUUCAAAAUAAGGAUUUCUGGAAAAAAUAAAAGAAAAAAUUUUAAAUACCACUCAUGUGGUUUUGCACAUUCUUACUUUACUACCAUAUGGUUUAAAGUGUAUUACUUUCAUAAACUAUAGUUUUAUUUUUAUCUUUUUGUUAUCCUCUUCACUAUUUUUUUUCGUUAAAUUAGUAACAAAGUUAAAACUAAAGGAUAUUAAAGUGAAUAUUCGAUAAACUAUAAAUGAAUAUCUGAAGUUUUUUUGUAUAAUAAUUUAACAGAAAUUUAACGGAGGUGCUGACGAAAAGAAAAAAAUGAAACCACAUGGUACUAAAUUGAUACGCUUUAAACCACAGAAUACUAAAGUGAGAAAGUGCGAAACCAAAGGGAUGGUAUUUGAAGUUUAUCCAAAAUAAAAUUUUAGAAGGGGUAUUUUGAGAAUUAGAAUUUUGUAGGGAUUAGUUUGAAAAACAUCCGCUUGUUCUGUUAAUUCUGUUUCUCGAUUCCCCAUUUUAAAAUAUAAAAAAAAAAAAAAUUUGCUCCCUCGCAAAACAGAUUCAAAAUCAAAACCCUACUACCUCGUAUUCAUCUCCUCCUCCUCCCCCUCCGCGUCUUUUUGUGAUUUCAAAUUCUCGAAUUUUCGAGGGAUUCUUAUACGAUUUUUUCUUUUCUUUUUUUUCUUUUUUGUGGUGGUGGGGAGAGGGGUCGCGAUGAGCACCGAGGUGGAGAGGAUCGACGGGGAGAUCCAAGACAUCUUACGCGCUCUCCGGUGAGAUCCUUCGCUCCAUUUGAUCUUUUGUUGUGAUUUUUUCUUUUCUUUUUUUGUUUGUUUGUUUAGGGUUUGUUCGAUUCCAUCUUUCGUUGUAAAUUAUUUUGUUUUGUUUUGUUUAGGGUUUUGUGGAUGUGAUCAUCUGAUAGUGAAGAUAUUUAUUUUUUUUCUUUUUUUGGGGGGCUAAAAUAUUAAAAAAAAUCUUAUGUAAAUAUUUGCGUUUUCACUUUUUUUUUUUUUUUUCUGAGUUCUAAAAACGUACAUAGUCCCGUCCAUCACGGAUCCAUCACUGUUCCGUCUAUAUUAUACGAUAUAUACCAAAAAUGUUCCUUAAAAUAAUUCUUUAGAACAAGUAUAAGGACAAUUUCGAUAAUUUCGCGCUCUUUAUUAACGUCAUAGUUUCUGAAAAUAUUUCUGAAAUUUUGAGAAGUAAAAUAUAAAUUUUUAAAAGUUAGGAAGGGAAAUUGAAAAUAAGUAUUUACAUGAAAGUUGCUUUUGUCUUUUGAAGUAAAAAUUGACUUUACAUAGAAAUUAUGAAGUUGGUAUUAAUUUUUUUUUUUUAAGGAGAGAUUUGAAAAGGGGUGGGUGUUCUUUUGUGAGAUUCAAUGAAUAGUUCGAUCAUCACAUGCAUUAUAAAAAAAAAAAAGAAGAAACAUGAAGUAUGUUGAUCUCGAAAAGCAAUUAACGGAAGGAACUAAAAUUUUACUUGUUUUAGAAUAAACACAGUCAGACCUGUCGAACCGGCCGAUUUGAUCCGAUUUUAAAAUUGUUGGGGUUAAUGUGAUGUUGUACUUCAAUCAAGGAUUUAAUUGCCGUGGCACGAGAUCGUACUGAAAACUUGCCGGUACAAUAUGGCACAGUGCGUGUCAGGCCGUGCCAAUGCGAAUUAAUCAUGAUAUAUAUAUAUACAUAUAUAUAUAUAUAUAUAUAUAUAUAUAUAUAUAUAUAUAUAUGUGCCGACACAUAAUAGCACGAAAUAUUUAUUUUUUUCGCAACAAAAUAUUCUAACUAUUUAUUAUGUAUUUUUAUCAAAUCUUUUGAAUUUUAUUGAGAGAAUUAUUUACUAAUUUAAACAAUAGACGGUUUUGAGCUAUGCCAUUAGCACGGGGGUUGUAUCGUGCUAAUAUUUUAUAGACACGAUAUGGCACGGUGGAUACGGCCUAUGUUGACGGGCACUUAAAUCUUUGACUUCAAUUUCGAAUCCUAUUUUGAAACUUCAACUCAUAAUCCUUACUGCAGCAUCCUGUCAGAAACAGUAGUAGCACUUAUUCUUACUUUUUUUUUUAUAGUAUAUAGGAAGAUUACAAACCAACCGUAUGAAGAACAUUUUUUGGCAUUUUUUGUGUAGAUUAAGUAUUUGGAUUUAAGUUUGUAAUACGGCAUCGUUUUGGUUUUAUUUAUUGCUCAUUUUAUGCAUCUCAAAGAUCUGUUACAAAAAAAAAAAACAUUCAAGUAUGAUGCACUGAUUACAGUUAUUAUUUACAUGGAAAAGCUGUUGGCUUUUACUGCAGAAAUGGAUUCCAGAAACUGGACAAGAUCACAGACAGUAACAGACAGCUUGGAGAGCUGGAAAAACUCACUGUCAAGAUGAAGAAAUGCAAGCUGUGGGUUUGGCAAACUUUUUCUAUUAUUAUUAUUAUUAUUAUUAUUAUUAUUCCCUGGUGGUAAAAUGUUUCGAUGGUCCCCGUACUAUACCAACAUUGCAACAGAGUACUUAAAACUUUUUCAUUUAUCGCAAUUCCGUGAUCCAUCCUUGGCCGCUAGAAACAACUGACCUGAGGUUUUUUUUUCUAUAAAACUUUUUUAUUGGUCAAAUGAUCCUUCCAAAAUUUUAUUUGGCCAACUAGACCUCUUCUUGCCAACUCAGUGCCAUGUUGGACAAAAAUGAGAAAUGCGGUUAAACGUUCACCGUCUUAAAAAGUAAUGAAUCAUUCUCCGCUUUCAGAUUAUUAUCGUUGUUUAUAGAUUUCUUCUUUUUUUUUUGUAUAGGUUGUGAGGAUUUUUUGAGAUUGUCAGAAUUGUAUGCGGAUUAUUGAAAUUUCUGUUUAAUUGUUAAAAUUAUAUGGAUAGACUGUUAAAAUUUUUUGGAUUGUUAAAAUUGUAUAUGAUUUGUUGAGAUUUUUAUGUGAUUGUUAGAAUUCUAUAUAAAAAAUCAAAAAGAAAUGGUGAAUUAUUUACCACUUUGUUUCUCAAAAAUUUUUUAAAAGGCUGUAAAUGAUUCACUGUUUCCUAAUUGUCCUUCCAUUCUAGCGCUGAAUUGGACGAAAUAGAAUUAUUUGGCCAAAUAAAAUUUUGAUAGAAUUAUUUGGAAAUUAUAAAUGCUUUAAGGGUUUAUUUGAAAAAAAGUCUGUCCUUAACUCUAUCGCAUGAAAACUACAAUAGCGACGCCAUUUCACGAGAGGGGUAAAAUGGUUAUUUCACAUAAAACAUAGAUUUCUCCAACCGUGUAUGAGUGAAAAAUUUAGGGACUACAAUCUCAGUAUCAUUAUUAGUUGUAGAAGGUUAAGUUUUUAGCCAUGUCUAAGCUUUUAUCAAAUACGCGAACUUUUGACAUCGAAACUUGUCCAUUACAGUUUAAUUAGAGAAUUUGACAGCGCAAUUGAAGAUGAGGAGAUUCGAAAUCUGCCAGAGGUGAAUUGGCAGCUUGUUGAGAAAAAGCAAUUAAUGGUUGGUGACUUAACACUUUUUCUUUGCCGACUUGUCGAUUCGUUAUUUCCUACUAACAUAUAACCAGUUUAUCUGUCAUGUGGCAGAUAAGAGAGUUGAAUUCGUAUGUUACGUUGAGAAAAACGUAAGUAAUGAAAUUUAUCUCUCUAAUAUUUGCAUUAUAUUGUGUACGAAUGCACGUGGUUGCAUAAACCAUCUAGUUUUGUAACAAAAAAAAUAUAGAGUUGUAUCAUGUAGCAAAGCGACAAGAAAAGCCAUAAUCAACUCUUUAUGAUUAGAAUUUUUCUUUUAUUGAAUAGUUUGAUGAAAUGGUACAUAAUUUGCAAGGUUACAACAAAUAGUUCCUACAAAAGAUAUGCAUAAAACAUUUGGCAUGUAUUGAUAUUUCAAGGUAGAGAAAUCAAAGAUUAUUUUAAGGUAUAUUUUUAUUUGUUUUACUCGCUUAGAUAAUUAUAAUCUUAGAAUCUGUUUGGCUCUACUUUUGCCUACUUAUUUGCAGCUGAGGCGCAAGUCAAUGAGAAUAUAUGCCUAGCAUCAACUUCCUAAAUCCAAUUUUACAGUUCAGGAAUUUUAUUUGCAAAGACACUAUAUUCUACUUCUGACAAGAGAAAAUAUGAUUUGUGAAGAGAGGUGUUCUAGGGUCUUGAAAUGCUAAACUUUCGAAGAAAGAUAUUCUGAUCGUUCGCUAGUAUUUUAACUUAAUGUCAUUCCACGAUAUUCUCAAAAUCAUAUUUUUGAUCACGGAUGUGCAGUUUUGCAUGCCACUGUCUAGCUUUUCCGCCUCUAUUAUUUUGCUGAAACCAUAUUCAUUUUUCAUUCUUUGGUGAGUUGGUCUAGUUGAGUUUAGUGGUAUCUAAUUCGCUUAUUAUUAAAUUUUCGAGUUUAUUGAGUUAUUAAUUUGCUUAUUAUUAAAUUUUCAAGUUUCUUGAGUUAUGUCGAAUCGUAAAUUUAUACAUCCUCUCUAUAUAUAUUGAUUAUUACAACUUGUAGAUGUAUAUGUCUCCUUGAAUGCAGGUAUAAAAUGAGCCUUGGUAAUAAAAAAGAUAAAGGAAUCUUUGAUAUGGGUAGCGGAGGUAGUGAUCAUUCUUCUAGGUACAACUUGGAAGUGGCAUCAGGUUAAGCUCAACUUCGCUCGCAAAAAUUUCACGUAAUUUCAACUAAGCAAGGAUUAUCAUGCCAGUCAGCACGGUUCGGCAUGAUUGAUCCAUGCCGCCUAUGUUGACAAGCCCAUGGCGACAGUGUUGACAUACAAAAUGUGAUAAAAGUGGACUCAACUUUUCGUACUACGAACUUUUUGUUUCUUGUACCAUUUACUUACCUAUCUUUUUCUUUUUCUAUUUUUCUAAUUUCCUGAACCUUCUGUAUGAAUUUUUCAGCAAUGUCUAAUUCAGAGCUCAUCUAUGCCGGAAAAAAAAGGAUGGAUGAGAUCGACCAAGCUAUCGAACAUUCCAAAACGGUUGAUUGUUGUCGAUUUGCCAAAUUUCUAUAUCAUAAUCUUGACUUCUGAUGGUUUGAUAGAAAAGUUAUCUCGUAGGUUGUGGAGCAAACUAUCGAAGUAGGAGGUCAAAGUGCUGCAACCCUUAAGGCCCAAGUAAGUGUAUUUACAAACACUAUUUGAAAAAAAAAAAUCAAAAAUAUAUAUAAACAUCGUCAAUUCAAUUGCCGAUUGCAUGAAUUCAAGAUGUAAGUAUGAAAGUGUAAUCGCAUGAUUCCGCAGACUGAACAUUUGGGCCGCAUUGUCGAUGAGAUGGAUACGGCUCAGUUUUCCAUAAAAAAGGCUUCUCGAAAGGCAAAAGAACUAGGGCGUAAGGUUUGCUCUUUCCCUCCACUCUAGGGCUAAUAGUUUCUGAGUAGCUUUGUCGUUUCUGCUGAUACUCUCGCUUUCAGGUGGCUACUGAUAAGUGCUUCAUGUUAUUUCUAUUUAUGAUCAUUUGUGGUGGAAUUGUUAUCAUGCUUGUCAAGGUAUGAUCUCUCGCAGCUUUCUUUGUGAUAUAUGAUGCUAAAAUCUCAGCUGAUCAGCUAAAAUGCAAAGCAAAAAUGAUUGUAUAUUUGUAAAUAAUAAAUAUGAGUAUAACACCUUAAGUGAUGAUAUUCGAAAGAUACUCAAAUUAUAAGUGAUUAUGCAAAAUUAAACUAGGCAUGAUUGGAUGUUGAAGCAUCUUGUACUGCAUUCCUUAUUUCUUUCAUUAACUCGAGGGGUGUUUAUAACGUGUUUAUAACUCCUCUAAACUAACAAAGAUGUAUUCUGCAAUAACUUCUAUUUACCUUUAUCAACGAUUACUUAGCAUUAGUUUAUGUUUUACGUAAUAUUCUGCUUAACUUCUUUUAACAAUGUUCUCAACAUUUGCUUCAUAUCAUUAAAUUGUUUUCCGUUUCCGAAACUUCUUUUACUCUUUUCUUUUUUUUUUUCAGGUUGUAAAUUCGCAUAAUGAGAACGCCAAAGAUAUGCAUGGAUUGACACCGCCUCCGCAAACCACCAGGAGAUUGUUAUCAGCUAAGUCUCAUAGAGGCUUUCGGUAUUCUUCGUAAGUAAGAAUUUGUAGGCUCGUUCGCUUGCAUUCGGAUUUAGGUUCUUAGCAACCAUUUUAUUUCUUAUCUUCAAGAAACAUAAUUCGCGAGCCUCGCAAAUCUUAUUAUUUUUUGUUCUGUACAUAUAACAUAUCUUACCCCUUUUCUUUCUUUCUUUCUUUUUUGUUUUUUUGAUUUGAGGUAUUUGUGGUGCUCUCUUUUGUGGAAUUCUAUGUUAAUACUAAUAAGGCAGUAUUGGAGUAGUCUUCUAAGUUAAUCCCUGAACUUUAGUUUUUUUUUUUUUACUAAUUGACACUUGAAUUUUCAAUUUGGCAAUUAGACUCCUUAAAUUUGUAUCGAAUAGUUUAAUAAACUCUUCUCUUCAAAUUAAGUUAUUAAUUAUACAAUUAUUUUGGUCGUAUGUAUUGCUUAUAGUUUUAUGAAGCUUUAAAAAUAUUAAAAAAAGUUUUUAUCUUUUAUAUCUAACAAGUUUAAAAAAAAUAAUAAAAAUUUAAGUUCGGCUUAUUAUAUAUAAAAAUAUAAAAAUGCUUUGGAUCCCUCACUAUGUUGGCUUUAUAUAUUGUUAUUGUCUUGGCACCUAUGAUGUCGAGAGUUGUGAUUGGAUUAUGCAUGCCGUUUGAAAUGUCACAUGAAUUUGCCAACACAUUAAUAACAUAUAAAGACAAUAUUAUAAAAUAUCCAUAUGACUAGGAAUGCUGAAUUUUAGCUGUAGAAUGGUCCCUAGUUCCGAAAUCGGUUGACACUGAGUAUAAAAAAAGAAGAGGUAAAUAGUCUGAAUUUGGAGCACCAAACCUGGAGACACUUGGAUCCUUGGACUUAGCAUUUUUCAUUCAUGGGUUAAUGUAAUUAGAGUGUUCCAUCAUUCUUUUGCUUCUGCUUUUAGCAGAUCACUUUGGUGAUUGAAAAAGUACGGUACUUAUACUGCAACAAUUCAAACAUAAGAGAAUUUAUGAUAUUAACAACACAAAUUUUCUUAAAAACACUAUUUAUAUAGUACUUCAUCUAGUAGCUCUACAUAUCAAGAUGAGAUGAGGGAUAUGUCUAAAUUCCACACAACUGGGGGAAGAAGAAACUCAGAAGCAUCAAGAGUCACAACUGGGGGUUAAAUUUGAUCCUCAGAGCUGCUAAACUCAUACUCCCUAAAUGUAUGAGCAACUUACAAUAUCAAAACUGAGGUUUCUUGGUAUAAUUUAUGCACAAUGGCCACAUAUGUAAGCACUGGUUUUGCUAGAUACUGGUUAAGAAAAAGCCCAUCUUAUAGCAUGUAGAUAAGGUGUUGUAAAUACAAUAUUCGCGAAACCACACGAUGAAAUUUGCAUGGUACUUCUCAAUUAGGCGUACCUAUGAAGCUAUACUCCCUGUUAUGGCAAAAGGACUGGGAAUUAUACAUCCUUUGGAUUUGCAAGACGCAUCCCCCUCAUGUGAAUAGUAGAUCACUAAAGAAGGAAUCCGACAGGCAAUCUUUAGCGGACUCGUAUGAGCUCAAGCGCUUUUUGAAUGAUCGAAGAUCCCUUUCGUCCUUUGCUGUUCGUUUCUGGCGAAGAAAUGUUUGUGAACGAGUUUAGAGAACAAUCUCUUCCCAUAUCAGAAAAUACAUAAUUGAAGUUAGCUUUUGUAAAAAAAUAGAAGAAACUCGGACGUUGCUGAACUUACAAAGGAUUUCUUCAACAACAAGAUAUCAACUAGAUAAAUUAACCAAAGGACGUUCGUCUUCCGAAAACUGCGUAUUCAUGGAGUCAAAAGAGUAGUCUUAGAUUUACAGCACAAAGAUCCUAACAGAAGAAUAGAUUCCAAGGAUAUUUUUCUACCAAAUGACCUUAGCUGAAAUUAAAUGUAUCUUUUGAUUUGUUUUUAUAAGAAAAAUGACUCCUCACUUGCUAACUACAAUGUAAUGCAAGGAACCAUGCGAGACUAUUCAGAAUUGGCUAUAUGGAUUUUAUACCUCCAAUGAGCUCAUUUCAGAUGAAGUUCUGAGCUAGAGUGCGUGUUAUCACAUCUUUUUUACUACCACCCACAUCUAUUAUGCCUUUUUUUUUUCGCUACCACCCACAUCGAUUACCGCAAUAACCCUAAGAGAUCAAAAACUAUUUAAAAAAAAAAAAGAAAUUCUAAAAUCCACGUGAUAUCGUGGAGGUGACCUAUGAAAUAUCCACAUUAACAGUACAUAACGACAAUGUGAAUUACGAAAUUAAUAUUGAAUAGCUUUAAAUUAUGCCUUACCUUCCUUCCCAGUAGUCUUCAGUUAUUUCUUUCAUUUUUCGAUACGUUUCCGACUGAGGGCAAGAAAUAAACCAAAUAAAUGAUCAUAUGGAUAAAAAAUGAGGUUCCAACACAGGAGGUAAGUAUUCAGUGUGCCUGUUUACCUGUUUAUCUCCUUUUGGCCCCUCAAACAAGCCAGGAUCAGCAGAUAGGUCAAGAAACAGUAUGGCUUCUCCUGCAGACAUCACAUAAAGAAACAAAAUAUUUUCACCAUGAAUUCAAUAGGAGUCACUAAAACCAUUAGCCGACUCUUAACUAGAUAUUCUCUAAUGAAGACAAAUCAGAAUGCAAGGCCAGAUACUCAGCUAAUAAAAUACUAUGAAAAGUGAUCUACUAAUAAUAUAUGGUUUUCAUUAGAUUCUACUCAAGUUCAUUAAAGCCGGAUCAUAUAUUAAAUUUGUAAAAGCACCAAAAAUGAAAAACUCAUAUAAUUCCGUGGCAGUGGAAGAAAAGAAUAUAAAUGCCAGUUUCACAUUAGAAUUCUGUAGGAUCAAUACAUGAUUGUCUUAAUAUAUGUAAAUAUUGAAUAGCUACCAACUCCAGUGGUAAAAUAGAAAGACCAGCAGCCCUCACUUUGAUUAAAUUUACUGUAAGUACAUAUUUGAUUCUUUAUGUAGUUAUACUUGCAUGACGAAUGGCAAUUCUAUCUGUGCCUACUUGCUAGUUAUCACUGAAAGUGAUAAUUUGUUAAAAGGUAAAAAUCUUCUGAAAAGGGUUCCAAAAGCACAGGAGUUAUCACAUAGGGACUCUAAUUGGAGAUUGGCACGUAGGGUUGUCAUUGAAUCGAACCCACUUGAAAAUUAGCAUGUACGGUUUUCAUCGAAGAAACAAACACUAGGAUUUCUUAAAAGAUAUUCAGCUCAGCUACAAUACCUUAUCAGCAUAAAAUUUGAAGGAACAAAUAUUUACCAGUGUUGAUCCGAGAAAGGGUGAAAUCAAUUAUUGCAAUGGUCAAACCAAAGGUCCUAGCACUCAUUCUCUUUCCUUCGAUAGUGAAGUUCAUUGUAUCCAUCUCAUUACGAGCCAAAAGAAUGUUUCCCCUGCAAAACAUCUUACUUCUGUAAUUAACAAGCAACAAAACUAAAAUGAACAGCUAACACUGGUAAGAAAUUUAACUAACUAGAUAGUUGGAAAUGAUAACUAAACCAAUGCAAAUCUCGAUGCUCAAAUUCACAUGCGCUUUCUGCCACUGCUAAAGAAACAGAAACCUGCAAGGAUCAUGUAGAAACCAAUUAAGCUGUGUAGGUGGCAACUUGGGGUUGAACUGGAGAAAUUAUCUUUCACAUCUGGUGCACCUAAAAAGCCAUGCACCACCCACUUAUCCGCACAUGAUCCCAUCUCAUACUUCCAAUCCAGCGAUCUAAACCACUUUCCCGUAGAAAUAAUUUUUAAAAUUAAGAAAGGCUACUUUUCCCUCGAUGGAAGGGAACGGACUAUGAAAUCAAAUGGAUAGCAUCUCACUAGGUGGUGGAUAGCUUGCCAGUGCACCGGAAGCAGGAGAUAAUCUCUUGUUGAACUGAUCAGGGAAAGAUAUUCUGUCUGCAACCUGAACCAAUAAACUUUUUGCCUCAUUGUAGUCUGAGAGUACGAAACUUUCAAGAUCUCUACCCCCAUCAGCUAGAACAAACACAAUGUAGCACUGAAAAGAAUUUGCAGUUGCUUAUAAGAAAUCAAAGAGAAUAUAAAUUGCAUUCCUAGCUAUUUCUUAAGUAUAUCACCAAUUUCUUCUAAGAGCGAAGUUAUUUCACAGGAUAUAAAAAUCCAACAUGCUUUAAGAAAAAGAACCUGUUCCUCUGAAAAUUCCUUGGGAUGAUCAUUUUCUGAACCAUGCUUUGCAUCCCAAUCUUCCCAUGCACCAAUCAAUCCGGCAUCAUAGGAACCUUUGCAAACUCGAAAGCUGAGAAGACAAGAACGUGUCUAUAAUGAAUAAUGAAAUUUGAUAAAAAUCUCAAAGUAUUACUUUGAAAGUAAUACGUUUGAAAGACUAACAACCAACAUUGAUGAAUUCAACAGUUGUCCUUUCGAUGGGACGAUGCGUCGUAGAUACAUACUCUUUUGUUUCUAUGAAGCCUUUGCAUGAGUUCCUACAGUUAGUUUUCCCAUUUUCAUUCCUUAAGUUAUUCAGAGUCAGCGAAAGCAAGACUUCUUCAAGCACUUCUUCAGAUUUCUGCAAAAACAAAACAUGGAAUUACUAACUGCUGAAAUUUCUGACAAGGACACAACAAUAGAUUGGUGAUGAAAAAUUAAACCUUCUGUACUUCUCCAUUCACUAGUGAAUCCCCAUCAAUUGGAACUACUUUACAUACAGUUUCACCAGCUCUAAAGGCCUCUCCAUAUGUACCUUCACCAAUCUUGACAAUGCUACUUGGUUCACUGUUUUCAAGCACAAACUGAUCUGUACAUAAAACUUGCAAAUUGAAGGAAAGAUGAUUAAAAAUAAUGCAGAACAAUCUAAGAGGAAGAGGAGAGUCAUGUGAUGAAUUCUACACAUCAAAGUCUCAUAAAUUCUAGUGGCUGCUACAUUCUUGCAGACGAUAUCUUGCAGCCAACUAAAAUAAACAGUGGUUGCUGCAUUCUAGUGCAUUCAAUACUAUAAAUCUAAGCAUAAACAAUGAUAGUAACACAGGCCUCAAUUGGUUACAUUUCAGUUUGUUUUUUAAACUCAAACUCUGUAAUUGAAUGGGCAGUUGAAAUUAGUAUCUUUUUUUUUUUGUUCAUCGGUGCUCUCUUAGAAGAAAAAAAUAUGGAUAAGCCAAUCUGCCAACACAUUCGAGUGCAUUUAGUUUAAGCUCAAGAAAACAAAAAAAAAAAGGAAAAGUAAGUCGUUCUGAUAUUCAUAAUCUAAAUUUAUAUUUUAAACAUGACAAAAUAAUGGACACACUACACAGAACUGGCACCAUUAUUUGAGUUGUUUUAAACUUCAAUUAACAAUAGUUAUCUGAGAGGCAGGCCGUGAAAACCAAGAUGAUAAUUACUUGAUCAAGAAAAGAGGAAUAAGAGGACCAACCAAUAUGUUGAAAAGACUUCAGCCAAGCUAACUGCAGAAGAUUGCUGACAAACCAUUAGAAGUUGCGCAAAUGCACUCAAACAUUCAUCACCAAAUGAUGGCAAGUAAGGAACUACAUGAUCCUUCUUGAUUGCUCCUUCUAACUCGUCACCUUCAACAGCUUUUCCCAAUACCUCCAAACCUUCACUACCACCACUCUCAGCAACCUCACUCUUUAUAUUCAGCGUAUCAAAAGAAUCAACAAUACUUUUAUGAUUAGCAAGGCCACUCAAGCUAUUAUCAGUGGAUAUCGAAGUAAUGCUCCUCUUAUAAGUAAUAUUAGAGUAAAUCCUUGAUUUUGUGACCCGUUCUGGAGUUUUGUCAACAAAAUUAGUAGAACCAUUGCAAGUACUACUCUUUAGAGAGGGAACUAUUGGUGACUCUGCGAUCUUAAAAAGCGGAUGGGAAGACCCACAUUUAUAAGCAAGCUUCGAGAGCUUCCACCUCUCCAAAAUGGCAGGCAAGUCAUGGACUACAUAAUCUUGCUUUGCACCCAUCGCCCAUGUGCCAAAGUUUUUGGGAGAGGGACUCUCUUCUAAGAGCUCAAAGGCGUCGACUUCUUGAAAAUAAGCCUUCUCCUUUCUAAAAUCCGGGGGCCCUGGCGCAGGUUUCUUCUGUUAAAGUACACUAAAAUUACUAAUUAAAUUGAAAAUAACUUCCAUGAUUUUACAUUAAGAUAGCACAAAUUGUGGAUCAAAUGACGCACCCCACGUGGUCCCUGCCUUGGUGGUUUCUUAGAUGCACCUCUUGGUUUAGGCUGAUGCUGAAAAUUCUCUCCAGCGGCAAGUAGAAUGCUUUCCCUUCCUCUAUGAGCAGUAAAGAAGAAGGCAAAAAAAGAAGUUAACUAAAAGAGAGUCGGCUCUGUAUGAUUCAAAUUUCAUAAAAUCCAAAGUGAUUGAGCAGCAAAAUACAGAGUAUACAGUGUCAAAUAAUUAACUUGCAAACGGCUUCAGCCCACCCCAGGCCGAAAUUAAUUACAGGAAAAAAGAAAGUGAGGAAAAAAUAAUAAAAUAUUAAUCUAAUCUCUCACACAUCCAAGUUUUACGUUAUUUAUUUUUUGUCAAACAAACAACAGAACUGAGAAAAGAUCCACAGUAUACAAAAAAAGCAUAAGGGAAAUAAUUUUCACCUGAACUCUAGGUCACUCAAAACCUACUUCAAUCUGAAUUUCACCUUCGGUGAAACAAACAAGCCCUCGAAGGUGAAUAUAAACCCUAAAUUACUGUAGAAGGUAAUACUUAGAGGAAGUAGCUCAGCUCAGCUCAUGCUUAAAAAAGAUUAGAAUCCAAUUAAUCUACACUGAGAGAGUGAUUAUAAGAAAACCAACUUAAAAAGGUGCCAAAUUUGGGAGUUAAAAAACCCUAAAAUGAAGGAAAAGUUAGCAAUUUAAGCUACGAUAAAACAAAAUCAAUUCACCUGAUGGAAAGGGAUCGAUUCCAACUGGUCCUCUUGCUCGGCGCAAAGCUCACUCGAUUCUCUCCACGGGAUCCGCUUCUUCUCACGAAUCCAACAAGAAAUUACCCAAAACAGAAUAGUGAGAAAAUUAGCAAAAAAAUCAUAGAAAAUAUGCAAUUAAAGGGGAUCAAUUUGCGCCUACAUCUCUAUGUCUCGAGGGUUCGCGUCUCCGGCUCUUCGUCGCCCGUACACAACGCCGACUCGCGCGUGGGGUGGGGCGCCUCCUCCGGACGCGAUCUCCGCCCACCGAUCGCCGGCGAAACCUGGAGAGAUUGGAGAUUGAGGUGGGAAUCGAAGAGGAUUUGGGAGAGAAAUUGAGUGGGUGGGGAGAGAGAGAGAGAGAGAGAGAGAGAGAGAGAGAAAUUAGGGUUUUGGAUUCGGUACCUUCUCGUGAUGAGGCCAUGGCGAAGCGCGAGAGAGAGAGAGAGAGGGAGAGAGAGAGAGAGAGAGAGAGAGGCGCAGAAAUCGAAAUGAGAGGGAAAUUUUUGAACUACGUUUCGGGUCGGAGUUGGGAAAAAGCAUAAUGGGCUUGUAUACAAAAUCCGGCCCAGUUGUAUUAUAAGUGAUUCAGGGCCCGUUUGUGUUUUUUUUUUUUUUGNCAUACAGAUCCUUGCAACAUAGUGAAUUACAAAUAUAUCCCCACAAAGUUCAAUUUUUAUAUAUUGUCCUGGCAAAAGCCCUAAUGCUUUCAAAUAUGCCCCUGCCAUUAGAAUUCGUUAAAAAAUUUUAGUUAAUCAUAGGUUAAAUACUUAAGUCUGGUUAAUGACAUUUUUACCCAUUUUAUAUUAUAUUAUGGCUAAAUUACAUAAAAUCUUUCUGUCAAUACUCGUUUUUUCACUUCCCCUGUCAUUCAAAUGCCUACACUUUGCCCUCUUGAAAAAUAAAAAAUAUGCACCGAAGGGUAUGGUGUGACAAAAUAACCAAAUUAUCCUCAUCUUCUUCAUCUCCUCCUCCCCAAUCUUGCUCAUCCCGUUGGUAAAGGAGGGCGAGGGCGUGUGUCUGGGAAUGGAUAGAGAGGUAAGUGAAAGCGAGGCGGCGGAGGGCGUGGUGGCGGUAAAGGACGAGGCGGCGGCCGAGGGCAUGUGUGUGGGCAUGGAUUAGGAUUUCAAGAGUAUUUUUGGUAUAAAAAAUAAGAUAUAAAUGAAAUCCUAACGCAUUACUGGCGGCGGGAGUUGAAGCAAAUAUUUGUUAUUUUUUAAGGGGUAAAGUGUAGGUUUUUGAAUGACAGGAGGAAGUGAUUUAAUAGAAAGUUAACGGAUGUGCUAACGGAAAGAGAAAAAUAAAACCAUAUGGUACUAAAGUAAUACACUUUAAACUAUAGAGUAUUAAAGUGAAUCAGUAUGAAACCACAUAGUGGUAUUUGAAGCUUACCUUUUUUAACGCUAAAUAUAGAAAAAUCCCCCUUUAAUACCCUUCUUUUCAUCUUUUACCCCCCCAAAAUUUCAGUUUAAUGCAUUUAGACCCUCUUCGUCAAGAUUUCAUCACUAUUCAGUCUAUUUUUUAUAAUUUAUAUUGAAAAUAUUUUUAAAAAUACCAAAAAUAUAAUAAAAAAAUUAUUUUUUUUCUUAUAGAAUAGGUAAGGGCAAUUUGAUUAUUUUGCCCGCUCAUUAAUGUCGUAACUUUCUGAAAAUAUUUUUAAAACUUUAAAGAGGACAAAAUAUAGGUGUUUGAAAGUCAGAGGGGAAAGCAAAAAAAUCAGGUAUUUACAAGUUUUUUUGGGUAAAAUGUACAUAACUUAUUUGAAUUAUAGAUUAUUUUGAAUCGGUUAUCUAAUCUUUCAAAAUUUUGAUUUUACAAUCCAAUCAUUCAAUUUGUUUGAUUUGUGUCGAUCAAUUAUAUUUUGACUUUAAAAUUUAAGCUAAUAAUUUAUUUUAAUAAAUUUAUUGUUGCGAGAUUUAAGUAUGCGAACUAAAUUUAUAAACAUAAACGACACAGUAAAAUUUUAGAGUCAAAAUUUUCUUGAUUAACUCAAAUCAAACAAAUUGAAAGGUUGACAGAAAAAUCAAAAUUUUGAAAGGUCAGGUAGCUUAUUCCAAAAUAGUCUGUAGAUUUGGAAAUUCUGCGCAUUUUUAUUUUUUUAAUCUAAGGUUUAACUCAUGAUCUCAAGAAAGUUAUAGUUAUUGGCAUUUUACUUCUGCAUCCAAAUCACAAAAUCACUCAAAACUUCACUCACAAUUGCAUAAGGAUCGACCUUUUUCGAGUUUGGUGGGGUGGAAGGGCAAAGUCGAGUUUGUGAAACUCAAAAGUUGGCUUGCUCUCCAAUUUAAAGAUUUGCCGCUUUCAAACAAUCCCUAAUUACAUACAUAUCCUUGCAAAGUAGGGAUUAAGGGGCGAAUUUAUGCAUUUUUUUUUGGAUUUCGGAUGAUGAACUCAUGAUUUCGAGAAAGUCAUAAUCGCUGGCAUUUGCUUCCGCACUGAAGUCUUGAAAUCACUCGAACUCCACUCACAAUUGUAUAGGGGAUUGGCCUUUGAGUUCGAUAGGGAUGGCGGUUUGGGGGUUGAAAGUCGAGUUCGUGGGACUCACAAGUGACUUACUCUCCGAUUUUUGCUUCCAGACAAUCCCUAAUUGCAUGCAUAUCUUUGUAAAGUAUGGGUUGAGAGCUAGUUUGUGUGUGUGUGUGUGUGUGUGUGUGUGUGUGUGUGUGUGUGUUUCGGAUCUCGAAGAUGAACUCGUGAUUUUGAGAAAGUCGUAGUUGAGCAAUUUAUUUCUACACUAAAGUUACAAAAUCACUCAAAUUCCACUCAUGAUUAUAUAGGAAUCACCCUUCGAGUUCGCGGGGAGUUGGGGGAGCAAAGUUGAGCACGCGAGAAACUCACAAGUUGCUUGCUCUCCAAGUUUUGGUUCUAGAUAGCCCCUAAUUACAUGCGUAUACCUGCAAAGUAGUUGAUGCGUACAUGUAUUCCUAUCCACCCCGUUUGGAUUGGGUACAAGAGGGGGGAUAACCCCUUAUCCCCCCUCUUGUACCCAAAUGGAAAAAUUGGAGGGUGGGAACACUUGUUUCCUACCCUAUACCACGGUAGGAAACAAGUGUUCCCACCCAGGGGUGGAACAACUUGUUCCACCCCGGUACAAAAGAAAGAGAUAGAGAGAGAGAGAGAUUUUUAUUUUAAAUUUUAAUUUUUAAAAUUUAUAAUUUAUAAUUUUAAAUUAUAAAUUUUAAAGUUUAAAUUUUAAAUUUGAUAUUUUUAAAUUUUAAAUUUUAAAUAUGAUAUUUUUAGUUUUUAAAUUUUAAAUUUGAUAUUUUAUAUCUUUCAAAUUUAAGUUUGGUCUUAAAUUUAAAAUUAGAUAUUUAAAAUUAAAAUUUUAAAUUUAAUUUCAAAUUUUAAAAUGUAAAAGUUAAAGAUUUCAAUUUAAAAUUUUCAAUUUAAAAAUUUAAAUUCAAUUAUAGAGGUAAUAUCAUUAUUUUCUAUUUACAACUACGAACUAUUCCACCUUAUACUCACAUUUUCAUCCAAACAAAAAUAUACCCUUGUUCCUACGAAAAUCCAUACUUGUACCUAUCCCCGGUAUAACUUGUUCUUGCUUAUACCUGAACCAAACAAAGCCAUAAAGUUAUCCGAUAUAUUUGUCAGAUAAGCUACGCAGAAGCAUCGAGACUUUAAUGAUGGGACUUCUGAAUUAAAUAUUAGCUCAGUUAGACAUGUAUAGUAUUUAAAGCCUUCAAUAUUCAAAUUUUAUAAUUUUUUAAAUUAUUUAUCUGGUGAUCAAAAUAGUCUCAAAAUAAAUGACGAAAAAAUAAAAACUUUCAUAAAAAGCGAUGAUAUAGCAUUAAAAUUUUAAGUAAAACAUAUUUAUUUUACUUUAAAUUGUUGAAAAAAAUAUAUAUAUCAAUUUUUUUAUCUAAUUUUAAUAUUUUUGCACUAUUAAACUUGCAAAUCGAUUAUUAUAUCUACUAUUAAGUUGUUGCUUUUGAGCCAUCUUGAUCGCCAUUUAAUAUCGAAAAAUUAUAAAAUUUGAAUCCUAAAACAUUCAAAUACUUUAAAUAAAGUCUAACAAAGCAGAUCAUCCAUUCAUAAAUUCGAUCAAAUCAAAAAUAAAGUAAAAGCACAAAAACCUUUCUGUUUUUAGAAGAAUCUAAACUCGACUCAAAAUGUACGAAUCUUAUCUAGACUAUGAGUUAUUUCCAUCCAACCGUCUAAUCAUUUAAGAUUUUGAUUUUGGUAGCUCACCUUUUCAUUUCAUUUAAUUUUAGUCAUAUCAUAACAUUUAGCUGCUAAAUUUGGAUAAAUUGCUUACUAAAAAAUAAGAAUAUAGUCACAUGAAUCUCAUGAAGUACUUUAAUUAAGCCCAUCGCAAUAGACUACACACCAAAAAGAAUUUUUUUUAUAACUAAUCCUAUUGAUUUUUAUAAUUAUAAAAAUAAAUUUUUUUAAAAAAUAAUUAUAAAAAUAGAUUUUUAAAUGCGGUGAAUGAUUCACUGCAUUCAUAACUUUUGUUUAGGUGUAGAAAAAUAAUAAAAGCGGUGAAUGGUUCACAGCUUUUACCAUUGUAGAAUUAUAAAAAAAAGUGAGAAAAAGAAAAUUCACCGCUUUUAAAAGCGGUGAAUGGUUCACCGCUUUUAAAAGCGGUAAAUCAUUCACCGCUUUUAUAAAACUAUAUUUAUAAAUAAAAAUUUAACAUGUUUAUUUUUAAAAUAAAAUUUUAAAGGAAGACUAUUGCACUAAAAACCCCCACCAAAAAGGUCUAAAGUGCAAAAAAGCCAUUACAUAGUUAAAAUCAAAUAAAUUUGAAAGUUUGGUGUCAACAAUUAAAACUUUUAAAAAAUUAGAUAAUUAAGUUAAAAUGGAUUAAAGUUUAAGUAAAUUUCAUGUAUUUUUAUUUAUAUUUCUCUAAGGUUAAUUUCAUACAGGUCUCUGCAAAUAUAGUGAAUGACAAAUAAAUUCCUAUAAAGUUUAAUUUUUAUAUAUUAUUACUACGAAAGUUCUAAUAUUUUCGAAUAUGUCCCUUCAAAAGCCAUAACAGUACAAUAUAAGAGGGAUAAAAAUAUCAAAAAUUAAUUAGGAUUAAGUAUUUAAUCUAUGAUUAACUAAAUUUGUCUAAUGGAUUUUAACGGCAGAAAUGUAUUUGAAAAUAUCAGGACUUUUGUAGAGACAAUAUAUGAAAGUUGAACUUUGUAGAAAUAUAUUUAUCAUUCACUAUAUUUACAGGAACAUGUAUAAAAUUAAUCCAGUUGAGGGGUCUGUAUACAUUUUUACCUACUACUUGCAAUCAUAGUUAGUUAAUUUGGAUUUUGCAAAAAUUCGAUACGAGUAUAAUAUGAAUAAAAUUCGUAUCCUAAUUUUUAAAUUCGUUGAAAAAUACAGCUUAAAAAACGAAUUCACUAAUUAUCCGGAUGCGCAAUUUAUACGAAAAUUAUACGUUCAUCAAUUAAAAGUUCGGGAUAAAAAAAAUUCAGCUAGUAAAUUAAAUUUUUUUUAUAGAUUAUCCUACCAGUAUAAAUAGUUAUAAUAUAAUUCUUAAAAACAUAAAAAUAAAGAGUUACAAAAUAAAAUAAAUUAAAUAAAAAAUAAUAGUAUAAUAAUAGCAAACUACAUUAUACAAUAUAAUAUAUAAAUAAUCAAGAAAAGAAAUAAAAUAAUCUAUAAUUAAACAUAAAAUAUAAUUUUUUUCUUUUCAGGGCGAGUGAAUUGAAAAUUUAUUUAAACAUAUUUAAACAUACUUAAAUAUAAAUAUAUAAGUUUUUUAUUUAAAUUUUUAAUAAUUCGUGGAUAAUCCGAAAAGUCUAAAAAAAUUCGUAUUUUAUUUAUUAAUCUCGGCGACGGUUCCGUUUCCGAUUCACAUUUCUCAUUCGACAAUGUUAUAACCACACCCUAUUUUCUUAUCUCCACGCCACCGCGAUCUCCCUUUUUACUAUUUAAAGAAUCCCAUCGCACCUCCUCUCGAUUACUCCUCUCUCUCUCUCUCUCUCUCUCUCUCUCUCCGCCUCCGCAGCGCCCAAAGCCCUAACCUAGCUCUCGCUCCGAGCUCCUAGUCGUCGUCGUUGUCCACCGCCACCGUCUCCGGCGAUCACCGGCGCAUCGGAUCGAGCCAUGGACGACACCUGCGCGGUGUGCGCGGAGGCGCUGGAGUGGACCGCGUACGGGCCCUGCGGCCACCGCGAGGUGUGCUCCACCUGCGUCGUGCGCCUCCGCUUCGUCCUCGGCGACCGCCGCUGCUGCAUCUGCAAGACCGAGUGCCCCUGCGUCUUCGUCACCAGGGUAGGGUUCCCGUUUUUGCGCUAACCCUAAUCCCCGAUCUCUUUUUAGAUUCGAAUGCUUACUCGUUGUUUCGUUUUGGAUCGGAAAUUUGUAGGUUUGUGUGCCCGAUCUUGGAUCAAAUAGCGGUUCUUGAUUGGAAAUUAUGGCUUCUGCAUCCCAUAGUUUACGGUUGUUUAAUCUAGUUGCUUUCUAAUCAUGGAUUGCUUAUCAGAUUUCACGGAAUUUGGUAAAUUCGAUGGUUUUGUCCGUGUACCAAUUUUAGUCUAUGUCAUAUUUCCAAUGAUGCAUGUUUCAGUUGAAUGGAUUCUGUGUUUCUUAGCUGCUGCAUUUAAUUGGAUUAUCUAUAACACUAUGCCUAAGUAUCAAUUUUCCCUCUUGUAUCUUAUUUAAGGGCAUUUUCAUUUACGUAUGCAUGCGAAAGUUAUGUAGUAUGUUUUGUUGAUUUAUGUAUGCUGUUAUGAUAUGCUAUGUUCUAUUAUACUGCUACAAUGAUAAAUGCUAAUAUAUGCUGCGAUUGGCAGGCCAUGGGGGAUUAUACAAGGGUCAUCACAGACUUUUCGGUGUUCCCGGCCAAUGCAACCGAAGGGCAGGUUGGCUCUUACUGGUUUCAUGAGGACUCGCAGGCGUACUUUGACGACAUUGACCAUUACAAGAUGAUAAGGGCAAUGUGCCGGCUUUCUUGUAGCGUUUGUGAUAAGAGCGCAGAGGAGCAAGGGGGCGAGGGCAUUGCAAAGCGGAGGAACAAGUUCCGCAGCAUAGAGCAGCUCAAGGGCCAUCUCUUUCAUCAGCAUCGGUUGUCUAUGUGCAGCCUCUGCCUGGAAGGGAGGAAGGUUAGAUCUUUUUUUUGUCUAUGCGUGCUGAACUCAUCUCUUUGGUAGGCAUGUGCGCAUUAAAGUUAAGUUUCAUUAUAUGCUUUAAGCAUGUGGAAGUUGAGAUUCCUGCCUAACUACAGCAUGAUUCUACUGCUUUUCCUUUGACUUGACUACACUGUUCUUAAGUUGUAAUAUGGUUACUUCUAUUAUUUUUUGUUAUUUUUUCCUUUUCAGAAUCCCAUUCUGAGAACUGAACUGUAACUAUUGCGAACUCGAGGUUAGCAAAAAUGUAUUAUGUGGAACCUAUGUGGUGCUAGCAGAAUACCCAAUUCAUUGCAAAACAAGUCAGUGGCCUUUUAAGAUGGAGUUGAUUUUGUCAUUCGCUACCAUGUCUUGUGAAAUUUUAUGGAGCACAUUUGCGAUCACUUUAAUGUUUUUGAAGUACGAAGUUUUGUGAGCAUUUGAUAUUGAGUAUGUCUAGUUCCUGUAUAGAUUUAAGUUCCUUUUUAUCCCACUAAUAUAUUUCUAUACUAGGUAUUGAAGCAUUUGUUGGUCUGAAAUAAACGCUUUGUCUGCUAACUCUGAAUAGUUUAUUUGCCACAGUAAAAGAAUGGAGGUCUAAUUGGCUUCUUUGGGCUUACAUCUUUUGCAUUAGACUAGAGAAGCUCAUUUUGCCAAUUUUGUUGUUUUCUUCUUUUUUAGAUUCCUAUUUUACGGUAGAAGGGUCAAGAUACAUAAACAUGAUAGUUCCUAUAUUUAGAAGUGGCAAAAGUGCGCAAUUUCUUAGGUAGUCUAAUUAAUCUUUAUGGCUUUGAACUUCAUAGCUGAAGGCGAGACCAUAAACAUCACAAACAGAUUAUCAUGUGGAAUGACUUAAAGAAAAAAAAAACUCCCUUUUUUCUGAAAGUGUUUUACUCUAUUCUAAAAAAUGGGAGGUUCGGCAAGAGCUGUUCUAUCUUUCUACAUUCCGCCUAGGUACAACAUGUAUUCUUCCACAAGUGGUUACUAUAUGUGGUAUUGGAGCUACUACAAUCUAUUAUUAUGACGACUUGGUGAUGAUGAUGUAACCAAUAUGAUUGCUUGUCCAAAUUUUCUCCGCCAAUUUUAUUGUUGCCGACUUCUCACUACUCCAAGUACCGUUUCUUUAUCUUAUAGUUAUCGAAUGUUUUUUUGAUCAAUUGUCUAACUAAUUCGAUCAUUUUGAGCAGGUAUUUAUUUGCGAGCAAAAACUUUACACUAGAUCACAGCUGAAUCGCCAUAUAAACUCUGGUGAUUCAGAGGUUGAUGGCACUGAAAGUGAGCGUGGUGGUUUUAUGGGGCAUCCCAUGUGCGAGUUCUGCAAGAACCCAUUCUAUGGAGACAAUGAACUUUACAUGCACAUGUCAACAGAACAUUACACUUGCCAUAUAUGUCAAAGGUGUGCAUGCUUUCUCCUGAUGUGAACGGAAUUCAAGUUAAAGUGAAAAGUCUCUAAUACUGGAUUUGUUUUGAUUUACAGGCAACAUCCUGGGCAGUAUGAUUAUUAUAGGAACUACGAUGACCUGGAGGUAUGCUAUAUGUAAACUGAUUACUGUCAAACCUGUAAUUUAUGCUAGAUUUAUUUAAGGCAUGACUAAUUGUCUUUAUGUGCGAAUUGUGAAUUGUCAAAUGCUGGUACAUGCAGAUGCAUUUCCGCCAAGGGCAUUUCCUCUGCGAGGACGAGGCGUGCUUGGCAAAGAAGUUCGUUGUAUUCCAAACUGAAGCAGAAAUGAAGGUGAUUUUUCACGUGGAUUUAGUUCUUCCCUUUUUUUUUAUUUUUAUUUUUUUUUUUGAUAUACCCCAUUGUUAGUGAUUAGUGCUCUUGUCAUGAUCUUAAUGUAUAUCUUCUUCUUCUUCUUUCUAGAGGCAUAAUGCAAUCGAGCAUGGAGGUCACAUGUCUCGCUCCAAGAGAAAUGCUGCUCUUCAGGUAACAAACAGCUUUCUUUAGUCAUAUGGGCUACUUAAGGCUAUAACCCUUAUUAAAUUAGAAAUUAAUGGCUUUUUUUUUUUGUGGCACUGAUAAUGGAUUUACUUAUUAAAUUUGAGAUUAAUUUGUUUUGUCUAUUGGCACUGCUAAUGAAUUUACUUUUGAAUGAAUUGUUAGCCUGAUGUAUGGUUUCGUUUUCUCUUAUGUUAGAUUCCAACCAGCUUUAGAUAUCGAAGGAGUGAACAAGAACAGAGACGAGGAAGGGGGCGGAAUUUCCGCCCCGAACCAUCUACCAACCAACUGUCAGCUGCCAUUCAAGCAAGCCUCGAGACAGCGAUGGCAGAGGGGAGAGUCCGCGAUUCUUCUUCUACUGACCGUCGAGAAACAACUCAAACUGACUCAGUCACAAAUUCAUUCGAAUCAUUUAAUAUCAGUGCAAAUUCCAGAACUGGUCCUGUUUUAGAAGAAUCCUCCUUCCCUCCCCUUUCAGAUAGGGACCCCGUCGAGCCGUCUUCUUCUAGAUAUGCUCAGGCUCUUAAUCAGAGAUACAAAGGUGCUGCCACUCUUGGAGAGGAAUCAUUCCCUCCUUUACCUGGUGCAAGUGAUAGAAAGAAUAAACCCAAUACGGAUCAUGGGUUAGAAAACCUAGCCAAGGGUACCCUUGCAGCUCAUCUCCAACAACAUCGCAAGGCCUCUUUGACAAUUAAUUCAUCUCGGUCAAAGCCCUCAGCAUACCAUGAAAACAACCCUUCGAUAUCUUCAAGCUCUCAGAUAAGACCCGUUCCAUUUCCUGAACUUGUGUCCUCUUCUAGUUCAAGUUCUCAACCUAGGGUAGCAACAAACCCAGCAAGAGGAAAUGGAUUUGUGUCGCCUCCUUUUUCAGCCAGCUCAGCCUGGAGUAGUACUACUAAUAAUAGCUCAAAUCGGAUGAAGCACUCUUCAUCUGCUCCUAACCUUGCUGAAGGGGGAUUGAAAAACCAAUCUACAUCCAGUGCGGUCCCGAGUUCCACUUCUAGCCAAGUUUCCCUUACUGGGGUGGAGGAUGUUCAGACUGCCAACAAAACACUAGUAGAAAGAAUCCGUGCUGCAUUAGGAAUGGACGAGGAUCGGUACGCUGCAUUUAAGAGCAUAUCUGCAGAAUACCGUCAAGGGCUAAUCAAUACUUGGGAGUAUCUUUCUUAUGUCGAGCAGUUCGGCCUAGCACAUUUGAUUCUGGAGCUUGCGCGGCUAUUACCUGACCCUCAGAAGCAGAAGGAACUCACUGAAGCCUACCAUGCUAGUUUGCGCUUCAAGGGUUUGCAACAAAAUGGCAAUGAUACCUUGAGGAAAGGAAAAGGUAAAGCUGUUGUUGGAAAGGGAAAAGGUGGCGACGACGGAGUGGCUAGAAGUAAAAAAGAUUCUAUGGCUGAUAACUUCUUGAGCAGUGUAAGGAAGCUGCAGUCUGGUCAGAGAGAGCAGGACGUUGGAGAGGAAGAGGUUUUGUCGAAGGAUGGGUAUCGAGCUGAUAAAAGUAAAGGGCCUCUUGGUACGAAUUCGGGUGACUAUAGUGGUGGUGGUAGAGAACCGGGACCAGGGAGUACAAGCUCUAACCAGAAACUGGAUGAGGGAGGGAGCAGCAAACAGCGUAAGAAGUCCUCGAAGUUCCUUAGAGUUCGUCUCGGCGAUGGUUCGGCGGCUGCUCUUAUUGAUCUUGCUAAUGAAAAGUAUAAUGCUGAACCCCCACAAACGGAAGACCCUAACAACCCUUCUGACGGGUCGCGUGUACGAGGCGUUUGGCGAAACGGCGGGGGGCAGAGACUUCUUGCAAAUUCUCACAAGGACACAUCCAAGUAAUGUUUGACUCUGAUCACAAAAUCAGAGCCAUAGCCGAGCUGGGGCAGUAUAUUUCAGCUGGUAGGCUUUUUUUCUCCGGUGCUUUCUACCACUCAGAAUGGCGGAUUGUGAAUAUCGUGUGAAUUAAUAUUUUGCAAAGUGAUACCGGUGCAUCAGUUUCACGCACCAGAAUCGGGCUCGACCUGGAUGAGAGUCCAUGAGGUAAUGUUGGUAAACUGUUUAUAGUUUCUCGAGUUUCUGUUAAAUGAGAUGUCCUUUUCCUCUAGGGGGACGAUAUGUACUGUGGCUUUUAUAUUAGUUGCUACUGAAUCUGAAUUUUUUGACAACUCUAAUACCAAAAUAGUACGAGUGUUCCUUCGCAAUCAAUAUAUUGCCAUAAAUAGACAUUUUUACAUUGUGCGGUUAUUACUUUUGUUGACAAAUUGGAUUUGCUCGAAGGUGUGUGCGAGUUAAAAUUGAUCCUAUCCUCGCUGAUUAGCCGAUCUAGAUGGUUCUUUCGAGACGGAUGAAUCAACUUGAUCGGAGCUCGCUAACCCUGUGGAGUUAUUUGUUUGUGAAAUAUAUUCUCUUUUUUGGGGUGAUGAUCAAGCUUCGGUAUGUGUUCUUUUCUUUAUAUAGCUCAACUGCAUUCAUUUAAUAUUCCUACUAUGGUCUCAUUGACAUACAAGUAGUUGUCAUUUAGAGUAGUUCUGUUUCUGUGUAUGGAAGUAUAUAAAUCAUCAUAUAGUAAUCGAGAAAUCGCAGCAGGAAAGGAAAAAGAGAGGUUUGUGAUGAUUUUGAAAUCCUUUCAACUAGUAAUCUGCAAUCUUAUAUUUCCUUCUGUUGUGAAUGUAGCAAGUUUGGUUGUUUUGAUUAGUCUAAUAAUUUAUGGAUUUCUUAUCACAUUCUACUUGGUAUCAUACAAUCAUAUCGACUUAUUAUGUGGAUUUUUUUUCCCCUUUUUUUCCCCCUCUUUUCUGGGAUUUUUGUUGAAAGUUGAAGCGGGGCUUCUCUCUCUCUCUCCCUCUGUUGCUGCUCAAGCUGAUACUUUUGUUUGCUUGGUUGUAAUGCUGUUUCUUCAUAUAGCUGCAGUAGAAAAGUGUUUAUUGUUGGGACAUUAAUAACCUGCUUAAUGCUGUAUGUCUGAGUGGGCCAAACUGUUCAAGAAGCUCUAGCGAAACUCGUUAGAAUCUCUUUAUCAGUAGCUUCUACCCAACGCUGGAAGCAUCUAGAAAACUCUUUUUUUUGGCUUCUUGAGUGAGUUGCCAGGAAGCUCUGCAAUUCGUGUUUUCCUUGCACUUCUAACCCCUCCAGUUUUCAUCAAGGUCAAAUCUGGUCCUUGAAACUGGUAAAUGUUUGCCGGCAUUGCACUUUAGUCCUUGCCCCCACUUAUCAUUAGAUGGUGGUUAAAUCACGGCUGGCUCGCGCUUGAUGCAUUUGUGCAGUCGUGUGUCAUGCAUUCAUCGACUCUUGGAUUUGGUCUGAUAUUUGAAUUCCUAUCAGUUUUUGCAUUAGUUUCUCUUUUCUUAUGCCUUGAGAUUAUAUAUGUUGGAGGGCUUAUGUAUUUUUCUCAUAACAGUGGGUAGCAGCAAUAGAGAGGGAGAAGAGAGUAGUAGUAGUAGUAGUAGUAGUAGUAGUAGUAGUAGUAGUAUCACAACUAUUGAACAAUAUUUAUAGAUAUAUAUAACACAAAGUAGCUGGACAUUACAGAUACUGCUGAUGCCACACACCAUCUAUAGCUGCUACUGCACCUUUCCUGCAUCAUCAUCACCACCACCACCACCACCACCACCACCACCUUUUAAGCAAGCUAAACUCACCAACACACCACAUAAACAAAAGCAGGUAGUAAAAAGCACACUCUAAGAAGCACCUACAACUAGCCAACCAAGCUAAGCACAACUACAAGGGCCAAACUAAGCCCUCACCUGCUCCGAAUUCACGGCGCGCCGGCGCGGCCGCCUCCGCCGGGUAUCCCCGGCACGGUGCCCGGUAUCCCCGGCAUGGUGCCGGGCAGGGACCCGGGUAGCCCGGGGAUGGACCGGCCCAGCCCAAACACAGGGCCCAGGCCCGAGCCGGGCUGCGGAUUGCCGAAAAUGCCGUUGAACCCAGGAAAGGUCUGGGGCUCAUAUGCUUGUUGGGGUUUGGUGGUUCUCACCUCUCUCCCUUCAGUGCUCACCAUGAAGCUAAAGAGGGAGAGGGAAAGGAUUAGCACAACUUUGGUGGACUUCUCCAUGUUUUUCUUUUAACAACUACUGCUCACUCACCCCCUGUGUAUGGGAUAUUAUUGCAUUUUACCCUCUAUUGCUGAUGCUCCAUCUUAUAUACUGGCAAUGUGGGGUGUGGGAGGGUGUGUGGUGACUGGUGAGGCCCUCUCUUUAAGAGAGGCUUUAACUUUUGGCUGACAAAAGGAGUUGAAUCUUUAAGAAGGCUUUGUGAUGCUAGUAAAAACUGCAUCUACUUUACUGCCAUGUUCUGCUCCUCUUUUAUCAUCACUGGGACCCCAACAUUAAGGUUCUGUUUGACCGACCGUCCCUAGAGCAAGUGGCAAAAGACUUGGUGGUUGGUACCCGAUACUCAAAUUCGAAUCCUAGUUGAUUCAUAUUUUUAGUUAAGUUUAUUUCUGAAUGAAAUAAACGAAGCAGGUAGCGUGCUAUCUAUCUCUCUCUCAAAAAAAAAAAAAAAAGUUCUGUUUGUAAGUAUGGCUAUCUUGUUCGAUAUAUUUCCAUAAUUUACUCGAGAGAUUUAUAUAUUUGGUAGGUGAGGAGUAUGAUCAAAUGUCUACAAUUAGAUGUUUUAUUCGGCUUUCAAAUCAUUUAUUUUAAAUAAGAUAAAUCAUCUUAUAAGUAAAAUAUGCUAGCCUAUUAAAUUAUUGGUAUCAAGAACUUAAAAGGAGUAAAAAUCAAAUUCCUUUAUUACACUCAGGCUUAAAAACUUUUUCAUACCGAAUAAAUUAUCUUCGGAUAACAUACUCCUGACUUCCAGAUAAGGCCGAAGGCUCUAAUUUUUAUGUUGGAAUAGGACAUCGAACUCAUUUGUUGUGAAUAUUUUCUUGUGUUAUUGGAAGCUAUGAGCCUGUUUUUUUGCUCCUUGAAAGGUCUUCUUGAUAUUCUUAAUUUGGCCGAAUAAUAUAUUUCGUCGAUCAUAUGAUUUAUCAUAUGCCCAAAAAUAAUUUGGAAGCAGAAUAUAAUAUCUAUUCUAGACAUUUAAUUAUAUUUUAAAAAAUUAUAUACUUUUUGAGUAUAUCAGUGAGAUAUGCUGGAUAUAAUUUUUUUUUUUUUUUUAAGAGAUAAGUAGCAAGCUUCCCGCUUCAUUUGUUUCAUUUAGAAAUAAACUUAGCUAGAAAUGUGAAUCAACUAGGAUUCGAACUUGAGUCCUGAGUAUCAAUUACCAAGUCUUUGCCACUUGCUUUAGAGACAGUCGGUAUUCUGGAUAUAAUAUUCAUGCAUGUAAAAAGAGUCUUAGGUGAGCCUUAGCCCCCGUUUGGUUCGGGGUUAAGAAAAAGUAGCUAUUUCAGGGAUAGGGUUAAGUUCAGGGUUAAAAUGGUGUUAAAAUUUUUUUGUGUUUGGUUGGAGGUUGGAGUUAGUUUAGGAUAGUGAAAAAAAGUGUUUGGUUGGAGUAGGUGGGAUAAGAAGAUAAUGAUUGAUAAAGAAGAAAAAGGUGAGAGCUCGGGAUGCGUGCGGGGUUAAAGUUGGGAGGGGGAGUGGGGUUAAUGAUUGAUAAAGAAAAAAAAUGUGAGGGCUCGGAAUGCGUGCGGGGUUAAAGUUGGGAGGGGGAGUGGGGUUAAUGAUUGAUAAAGAAAAAAAAUGUCAGGGCUCGGAAUGCGUGCGGAGUUAAAGUUGGGAGGGGGAGUGGGAUUAGUAAAUCCCACUAACCCGGUUUGGGAUGGGGUUUACUAACCCCACCCUAAAAGAAUAGUAUGUGGGUAUAAAUUGGGGAUUAAGGAGUUAUUCCACCCCUUAACCCCAACCAAACGGUGGCUUAGGAUUUUUGGGGUGAUCUUGGUCAAAUAUGACAGGUGAUAAGCUGAAAUCAUCCUGACAACUUUUCUUGGUAGUCAGAAGCUAUAAUUAUGAGGCUCAUGAGCCUCAGGUUUCUAUUGGCUGUUAAAACUUUUCUAUUUGCCAACUGUUAUAUCAAAAAUGACUAUAGCUAGUAGUAGAAAUAAAAAAAGAGCCAAAUAGGUUCUUUAUGUAGAAAUAAUAUAACAUCUUGAGUCAGCCGUGGGAUACUAUCGAUAACAUAAAGUAUUUGGUGCUAUCAAAUUUUUUACCGUAAAAUUUAUCACUUUUAUUAUUUUUAACCGUUCGAUUAUACUAAUCAACUAACCACCCACCCAUUCAAUCUUUAUUAGAGACCCACAUCAUUCUAACCACACAUUUUUUAAUCCAAAGUAGAAAACUUAAUAGCACCAAGUCAUUGGUGCUAUUAAUAGUAUUCCAACCUAGUUCUAACAUCUUUACUAUUAUCGCAUUAUCAAUCACAAUCUAUAUCACUUUUGCAUCAAUAAUUUGUCAACAGUUAGCCAACUAAAUUGGAUUAUGAAACUUGAUUGUAAUAAUUCAGAAAGUUUGAUGGAGAAGUUAUAAUAACUUAAAGUUUAAGUAGAAAAGCAUCAUGCUAUUCAUAGUUUGAGGACCAAAAGUGUAAUUUACUUUCUUAAUUAAAGAGAAUUUAAUACAAUAAGUUGUUAGUUAUUCUUUACAUGACUUAAACAACAUUUUUGCCUAGCAAAACAAGACACUUUAGCUCUUUAUACUUAAGAUGCAGUAAAUGAGUAAAAACAUUCCAUAAAUAGAAAUUCAAAAAUACUAUAAGAGUUAAAUGCACCGAAACUUUUAAAACAUUGCAACUAACCUCCUAAAUUCACAUUCCAUCAAUUUAAAGUGAUUAAUAUCAGUCAAUUAAUCUAGAAAUAAUAAAGAAUACACACUAGUGACAUAAAUGAGCCUCUUCCUUGAACCCAAAUUUUUUUCCCUGGAUAAAAUCAAUCAUAGUCAUCACAAUUUACUUUGUAAAGAUCAAAAUGUUAAAAAUCAAUUCUAUGUUGUAAGAAUGAAUGUUGAAGUCAAAAUAUGAACUUUAAUUGUUAAAAUAUAGACUUGAACGAUCAAUUAUAAAAUUUUGAGAGUUCAGAUAGAAAAUAUAAAAUUUUAAAAGUCUGGACAGCUAUUUGCCAGUAGGCGAAAGUUUGGAUAGUUUUGAUGCAUUAAACCUAAAAAGACAAAAAAAAAAAAAAAAAACUCAAAUUGGUCUCUUUUAGGUCUCAAUUACCAACCAAUUUUCAUGUGUCAGAGGCUGCAUUAGACCAAUGUGGAAUAAUGAGAAUUUAUUGCUGCUUCCAAGUUGUUAGGUGAGAUGCCCUCACAUCUAAUGUAGUGUAGUAAAGAGCUUCAAAGGAGUUGGGUGGUAGUAUUUAUUAUGCUUUUACUUAUUUAUCCCUAAUUUUUAUUCAAAAUUUUUAAAUUUAUUUUAAAAUUAUCAAAAUAUCUUUUUAAAAUUUAAUCCUACCAGUAAAUCUUAAAAAAGCUAGGGAUAUUUGAAGAAAAAUUUUAAAGUAAAUAAAGGUUUUUUAGUCUUCCAAAGUAAUUAAGAUAUUUUUUAAGUUUGAAGGGCAUGUUAAAUAUAUAUAUUUUUUAUUUACAUGAAGACCAACAAAAUGAGAGACAAAAAUAUCCUAGAUAUCUCUAGACAUAGGCUAUGGUGCAUCUAGGUAUGCAAAUGGAUCCGGGUUAGUGGAUCUUCUGGUCUAAUUCGCUCGAAUUGGACGGUAAGUAGGUUAGGCUGCUAACGAGCCAAACACGAAGGAGCUAGAGCCGUGUUCUCUCGCUUAUUAAACGAGCCGAAUACGAGCUGACUUAUUAAAAUAUUGAGUUGAAAAAUUUAGCUCGUUUUCAGCUUGUUUAUUAACGAGCCGAACACGAGCUGGCUCACAAAUAACAAAUUAGAUUAUCAGCCCUACUACUGUAUAAAAAGUUCAAAGAAAUUUAAAAAAUUAAAAUCUACCCCUUUGAUUAUGUUUAUCCCUUAGAUCAUACAUUUCACCAACCACCCACUAAACCCUAAAAAGGCUUUGCAUGGUUCAGGUAUAAAUAAGAACUGCUAAUUUUCGAAAUAAGUGCAAAUCCAGAUGUAAGCAGGACCUAGAAUAAAUUUUUUGUUUGAAUAAAAAUUCAGUUGUUCAUGAAAAUAAGGUAAAUAGUGCUUGUAUGGUUAGAUAGGAAUAAGAAAAUAAAAGUAAUCAUAACUAUAAAUUAAUAAUAUUUUAUCAAAUUAAUUAAUAUCAAAAUAUUAAUUAAAAAUAAUUCAAUAAAUUAAAAAAUUUAUUAGCUACGAAUAUUGUAUAAGAUAAUAGAAAAAGUAUUAACUAACUAAUUAUAUUAAUUAAUUAUAAAGUAUAACUUAACUUUUUAAUUAAUAAAAUAAAUUAUUUAAUUAGUUAGAUGAUUUGAUAAGAAAUUAAUUUAAUUAUUUGACCAAUAUAAAUAUUAGUUAUUAGAUAAACAUAUUAAAUAAUUAAUUAUUAAUGAGCUAAUUAAUCAUAAAUAAUAAAUUAAUUAAUUACUUAACUAGUUAAGCAAUAGAUAAUAACUUAAAUAUAUUAAUUAGAUUAAUUAAUAAAUUAACACAAUAAUUAAAACUUUAACUAAACUUGUCCCCACUCACUUGGGAACAAGCUUGUUCCAAGGGAGAAGGGUGAAAUAAUUGUUCGACCAUUUUUCCGUCUUAUUCCUAGUCAUGGAGAACUAUAGUUAUCAACCGCAAAAAUAACAUUUAAAUAUAAAAAAGAGAAUAAAAGCUUAUUCCCCUUCUUAUGCCCGAACCAAAUGCACAUAACAGACCACUAUCAUCCUAACCGCACAUCCCUUCAUCCAAAGACCGAAAAACUAAUAGCACCAGCGAUUUGGUGCUAUUAAUAAUAUUCUAGCCUAGUCCAUAUAUAUAUGAGUAUGGCUACAAUGUUAUCAUAUAUAUUGAGCUAACCCCAAUUCAUAUUUGACUAUUUAUUCAAUAAGAGAUCAAUCUCGAGGUUAUUUCAAGCCACAUACGAGAAUGAGAGAUCAGUCUCGAAAUUAUUUCAAGCCAAAUACGAGCUCGUGAACAAAAAGUUGAAUUUUGGUAGCCUUACUUUCAAUAAGGACCAAAAUAUAAAAAAUAAAGUAAUCCAUCUUGAAUCUGCUCCGAUUCGCUAGGGAAAUGGAGCAGGAGGCGAGAGAUCCUUUCUUUCUUUGGUUUAUUCUGAUGUCAAAAAUUUGCUUUCAUCCCGACCCGCAGAAUGGAGCGAUAACUAAGAGCAAAAAGUAAGAUAAAAAUUAAUCCACUUCGAAUCGUUCCUAUCCACCAAGAAACACGGGGCGAGAAGUAAAUGACCCUUCUCAUCCCAAGAUAUGCUCCAUUUGCGUUUCGAACCACAUCUGAAUUUUGAAAAGUUAAAUAAUAGAAAAUUUGCAAUUAUUUUAACUAACCUUCUAGGAAAAAAAAAAUGCUAUAUCGCUCUAUCAUCCGUAAUAUAAAAAUGUUUUUCUUUUUUUUCCCUCUCUCUCUCUCUCUCUCUCUCUAGCAAUUUUCAAUUGUUGUUGUUGCGCAUGAAAGCCAAACACUUCGAAUACCCCCUCCUAUUUGGAAAAUAAUAAUUUUCUUUUUUUUAAAAAAUAUAUUACAAAAUAUAAGGGCCGGUUCGGAGCCCAACCCGGCCCGGCCCGAUCCGGCCCAGCAACAUCACGGCCCAAAUUUCGGAGCACGACCCACCACGUCAUGCGCCGCCUCCCAGAUUUUAGGCCCUCAAAAAAAAAAAAACACACUAUGUUCAUGUACGGCUCACAGUGACGUGGUGCGCGUGGUCCAUGGAGUAUAUACUCUCCCACCAGUUUCCGGUGUGAACGGGGUCCUCGUUUUGGUCCUUUUUGUCUUCGCCAAUCAUCCCCUAAAUUUUAGGCCCUCAAAAAAAAGAAAAAAAAAAAAACAUACUGGACAUGUUUGGUUUGCUUCUUUUUCACCCUGAAAUCAAAAUCGAAAUAGAUGAAUUCGUUUGUGGGUGUUUGGUACGCGGGAGUCUCAUUUUUAUUCUGAUUCCCGAAUGAAAUGGGAAUCCCCUAAUCACCUUUCAAUCCGGCCUAGGAGGCCAGAUUGAAAGUUGAAUCGGGACGGAAUGGAUAUUUAUUCGGAUUAAAUUUAUUUUUUUAACUUUUUUAAUUAAAAUAUGAGUUAAAAUUUAAAAUUAAAUAUAUAAUUUUAAAUUUUAUUAAAUUAAAAAUUAAAAUUUAAUCAAGUAUUUCUAAUCUAACUUAUGAAUUUGAAUUUAAAUUAAAUUUUAAUUUAUAUAAAAUGUUAUUCAAAUUUUAUUUCAAACUUAAAUUAAAUUUAUGGAUUCAAAUUAAAAUUUAAAUUGUAAUUUUAAAUUUGAAUUUGAAUAAAUCAAAAUUUAGUUUCAUAUUUUGAAUUAUCCAACUCAACUUCAAAGUUUAAUUUUUUUAAAAAAAAUAUAUUUAAAAUUUUGAUAUUAUUUCAAAAUUUUGAUGUAAAUUUUUAAUAUUUAAUUUUUAAUUUGAAUUUAAAUUAAUAUAUUAUAAAGAUAAUGUUAGUAUAUUAAUUUGAUUAUGUUUUUUAUAUCCACCUGAAUCAUACACCGACAAUGGGAAUGAUUUAUUCCGAUUCCGAUUCAGGUGAUGAACCAAACAGAAUUAGGUAAUGAGUCAUUCCGAUUCCGAUUCCAACUUAUUUUGAUUCCGAUUCCGAUUCCGACUCCGACUUUGAACCAAAGACGCCCACUAUGUUCAUAUACGGUCCACGAUGACGUGGUGCACGUGGUCCAUGGAGUAUAUACUGUCCUUCCCGUUUCCGGUGUGAGCGGGGUCCUCCUUUUGUUCCUUUUGUCUUCGCUAUCACGCUUCCACAUGCUCUCCUCUCUCUCUCUCUCUCUCUCUCUCUCUACAAUUCUCUCUCUCUAUUUUUAGGGGGACCCCCAAAAUCCGUAUGCAUCACCUGAGGGGGCGAUUCUAGGGUUUCUCUCGAGCCAAAUCCCCAAUCGCAUCGCCCCGUCGCAGAUGGCCGAGGCUCGGCGAUUCGCUCUCAAUCCCCAGCUAGGUCUCCUUCUCCUUCUCUCUCUCCGUCUCUUUCAAUCUCCUCGGAUUAACAGUUUUAAAUCCCCCUUCCCUUUUUCCUCUUUUUUUUUUUUUCCAGUUAUUUUGUUGAGGAAUUCGGCUUUGGGUAAUUGUUUGGGUAGGAGUGCCAAUGUAGGAGGAGAAUGUAGUUUCUGGUGUGAAUUUUGGUAUUUUUUUGUAAAAUUUUUGUGGUUCUUGGAGCAUUAAUCUCGUAAUUUAUGUUAUUUUAUGUAAUUUUAUGAUCGUCGUUGUUCUUAUAUGAGCUUUAAAUGGAGUGGAAUGUAUAUUGCAAUGUGAUGUGAAAGAAGGCGUUUUGGUAGAUUCUGGAGACAUUAUGCCGUUGUUUGAGAUUAUAUUGUUAUUGUUUUAGUUUUAAAGUUUUCAAAGGAUAUGAAGUUAAUUUUACUGGAGUAUUACUUAUUUAGUUCCAUUCUGUAGGAUUGAUGGUGUUUAUGCAUCGCAUUGUUGUUGGCGAACAAACUGUUGCUGUUAGGCUCUGUUCUUGUUGUUCUUAUCAUUGUGCUCGAAUUGUAUGUUCUUCUGAUCAACUUAGUUAGGUCCAUGGAUUUGAGAUUGGGUUUGAUCACAAGGUACUUGAAAACAUUUAAUUGAUCAACAAGAAUGAGUUUUCUCUUUCUGAUUAAAAUUUUAGUCAAGCACUAUUAACUAUAUUUAUAUUUAAGCUUUAUUAUGAUUCAAUGGGGAUGGCAAAAGUUUGGGAGUGAUCUAUGGUAGGAGUGAGAGUAAUGGCUACUGGCUUAUGGUCACAGUGAGAAAGCUGGGGAAAUAGAGUAAAAAAGUGGUUGACACUUGUGGGAAAACUAGACUUGUGUUUAAGCCAUCGACUGGGGAAACUUUUCACUUGUCAUGAACACUGAUUUAGCCAUUAAAGUAAGUUAACCAGGUAUUUUGGCAUCAAAAAUCCCAGAAGGAAUUUAAUGUUGCCUAUAAUGACGCUAUUACUUCUCUCGUCGUCAAUUGAGCCAGAAUAUGACUUCUUAAUUAGGGUUUGCUUUUCUUGUACAGUUGUGGCUUUGCAUCUCCUUCGUUGGAUAUAUAUCUGAAAUAUUGGAGAAGCAAAAAAAAAUAAAAGAAAAGGCAAACAUGAUAUCUUGAAAAGUUUGUAUUCUUCGCUCUUUAGAUGUUUUGGAUUGCAACAGAUGUUUGAUAGUCCAAUUUGAGGGCUCUAUCUUACCGGAAUACAUCAUGUACUCAAACCAGCAGGGCAAACUUUGGCUUAUUUGAUACAACUUUAUUUCUUGAUGUCAACUUCUGCGAAGCUAAGAUAAGGUUUUCUUGGUUUCAGAUGUCAACCAGGAGUCAAGUUUAGGAUAAAGUACUACCAAAUGAUAUAAAUGGUUAUAAACUACAGAGUCUGUUGAAAUUCCAUCUUUAUGCAUUUGUGGCUGAGUUUGAGUUGUUUGACUGGACUUGUUUGGCUUCCUUUUUUUCAAUGACUGAUUUGAGUUUUCAUUUGUUUGGCUUCCAUUUUUUCAAUGACUGGUUUGAGCUUUCAUCAUUAAUGAAAGUCCCCCUCUCUAUGCCCCCAUCUCAAUCAACUACUUUGAAUGCUAAUCCUGGCCAUACAAUCAGAGAAAGAGAAAAAUGAGAUUCAUAAUGUCAACCUGAUUUCUCUACAUUAUGAGGACAUGAAAGUGAGAAAAAUCUUUGAAGUAUUAAGAAAGACUCUCUGAGGGCUAAAGAAAAUUAACAACAAUUUGUUUUGUCCUAAUCAGAACUUUCUUUUAACACAUCUGAAUGUGAUGUUUUGAUAUUUGUUAUGAAUUAAGUCCAUUUGAUUCCUGUUUCUGUUAUAUGUUAACGAAACGAAGCACUAUAAAUCUUCUUGUGUUUUAUCAAUCAAUAUGCAUGCAUUUAACACUUUUGGUAGCUUAUCUUACAAAACAUUUUGCUGAAAGGUGGAUAAUUUAAUUGCUAAAUCGCAAAUAACCACUGGUAUAUUGCGUGUUGUAUUGUACCCCCUACGUUAAAAAAUAUAAACCUAACUCCUUUUUGGACCAUUAGCACCUAACCAACAGUCUCCCAUCCAAAAAACCAUAGGAGAACCCUAAAAGACGACUUGUAAUGCUGAAUUACCCUUUGUAGCUCUCAAUUGUCCUCCUUUUGUUUGUUCUUUCCUUACCCAUUCUGCUCAUCAAAUCUUCACAAUGGAAUCGAGAAUGAGGAGGAGAAGCAGGAUGAUGAAUGGCGGAGGAGAAAGGUUUGCUGAUUGCAGAGGAAGAAGAAGGCGAGUAGUGCAUAUUUUUUACAUUACAAUAUGGAUUUGGGCCGGCAUCAACUAUUCAUGUUUUAUGGUUAUUGAUUUUACGCUGCUUAAGAUAGAGAAUAAAUGCUUGGGAAAUUUACGGCUAUUUGGUGUAAAGUUCAAUGGGCUAAAAUUAUUUCUGAUUGUUUUUUCCCCCUUUUAUGCAGUUUAUGUGCACUAUACAAAAUAUGUCCAGUGUUGGUUGUUGAUUUUAAGAUUCUUACCUUCACUAUUCAUGUGUGCUGGGCAGACAUUCCACAGAUUUUGCAGGAAGCUAAAACUCGCUGGCUUCGUCCAAGUGAAAUAUGCGAAAUACUUCGCAACUACAAAAGAUUUAAGUUGAAUGCUGAUCCACCUUACAAGCCCGCUGGUAUGAUUAUUAUAUAUGCUGAUCAUCAAUCCUCAAUUAAAGCAUUAAGUUGUUCCCAGUAUGGAUAGAUGUAUAUGCACUGCAUGUAUGCAUAAUGUUGUAUAUCUACUUAUCUAAUAUAUAUGCAUAGCACGCACAAAACUUAUAUAUCUUAUAAAUCAUGUGCAAGCACAAGAACUUCUCUGCUAGUUUUCUUCAACGUUCAGCCAUGCACAUUCCACUUUUAACUUGAACUUUUUGACUUUUUAGGAUGUCUGACUGGUAAUCUUAUUUACAGAAUCGUAGAGCCAAAUAUUGCCUACAAAAGACAAUCAGACCACUCCUAAGUCUUGUUACCCUUUUGCUGUUUCUGAAUUGUGUGCUGUAGAACAAGGACAGCUGGUUAGUAGUAUAUUGCAGCCAAAAUAGUAAUAUUUCAUUAUUGAAAAUGUCAAUCAAGAUUAUUAUUGUUUGUGUUUAGAAUAAAAAUAUGUACAUUGGCAAAGAUUAUAUUAGAAGAUCUGCGGUAUAUUAUAUUCAGUCGAUAUCUGCUAGUAAUAGCAAUGGAAUGGACUGGGUUCAUGUUGGCCCUGCAUUUGUUAGAGCCCUAUCUUAUCCUAGCUGAAGGGCUUUUGGUUAGGAUUUAGGCUGAACUUUUACCAAUAGUUGAAGCACUACCUGAAGUUAGUUUAAUUUUGAUAGCUAAUCAAGCUAAUAGUGGGCCCAAUUUUUUUGGUGAUGCUGGCUAGGGCAGAGUAGUUGGGUUGGUUGGAGAGGCUACAUGGGUGGUGAUAGUGGUGGGAGAGGAGUGAGAUUGAUUGCCAACUGGGAAAUUGAGCAGAGGGUUUCAGAGCUAGAUCAUGUCAUCCAGUUAAAAUGAAUAGACUCUUGUGAGAUAUUUUUCAUUAAUGUAUAUAAUAUAGCUUUUAUUGUCGUUUAUCUAGGCUGGUGCAAAAGUAAAUUUGCAUUGAAACACACUACAGCCUGUAAAUUUGGGGGGUCAUCCUUGAACCAAAGCAGCUAUUUUGAGGAUAACUCCAAAUCUUAUUAGAAAUCCUAUGUUAGGGUCUGUAUCUAUCUUAGUAGAAGAAAAUGAUUUGGCAUUCAUCACCACCUUUUUGAGGGGAAGCGUUUGAAAAGUUUUUUUUUUUUUUUUUUAAAUUACAGUUACCACCAAAUCCAACUAACAUGCUUAACAUGUUUUACUACUAGGUGGUUCUUUGUUUUUAUUUGAUCGAAAGGCACUUCGAUAUUUCCGCAAAGAUGGCCAUAAUUGGAGAAAAAAGAAAGAUGGAAAAACUGUUCGAGAAGCUCAUGAAAAACUAAAGGUACUGCAGUUCAAGUUUGUCAAAACUUCUCAAGAGUCGCAUGUCUGGUCUAUAGCUAGUUUCAAGUAUUAGGUUUAUUUCAUUAUGAUGUCCGUAAUGCCUUUCUAUUAAGAUAAUAAUAUUUGUUGGAGCUUUCCAUGUUUCUCCUAUUGUAAAGCCACUUUUGCACUUAAAAAUCUGGAUGCCUUGAUUUAUUUGAAACUUUUCUAAUUUUUUUUUCUCUUGCUAAACUAGAUAGGGUCAUUAUUGACUUAUCAGACAGUUGACAACAGAAAUAUUUCUAAUCAAGUAUUCUGAAGGUAUAGUUCAAUAUUGGAUACUACUUAGUUUUAGGUUCUAAUGCACCUAAUGAGUUAAUUGGUCGUACUCAUUAUGAUACUUUUCUUAGACCCACAGGUCUCUUUGCAUCCUAUUAUAUUGCUUUAUGAGCAUUUCCCUUCUGAGCUCUCUACUCAUUCCGAUGGAUUUUGUCCUUUGUUCUAGUGCGGCAGUGUUGAUGUUCUUCAUUGCUACUAUGCCCAUGGUGAGGAAAACGAGAACUUCCAAAGACGUAGCUAUUGGUUGCUUGAUGAGUGAGUUGUUUCGAAUUAACUUGGGUCUUUUAUCUUUGGGCUAUUUUAGUAUACCUCUUUGCCUGAAUGUACUUCUUACAGAAAAUUAUUGGCCUUUACCUGAAUGGACAUAUUUCAAGCGGUUACAUGAAUAGUAUUUCUCCCUUUAAUUCUUUCCCUUUUGGGGAUAAGAUCCAGCUAAAAUCUGAGGCGAUGCAUUUAUUUCUACACCUUGUGGUCUGUUGCUGACAUGCAUAAAAUAUAUUAUAUAAUUUUCCAUUAUCUUAUGGAGUAUGAAAUUCCUGGCAGUGAAUGCAGUGAAUUUUAUUCGUCUUAACUUCAAGUUGGAGUUACUAUUUAAUAAUAUAAUACAAGCAGUAACUAUAUAAUAAUACAAUACAAGUAUCGUUUUUUGUGUUUAUAACUUAUGCUUCUUGGGUUUUCUCGCCUUCAUGCCAUCUAAGGGUCCAUUUGUUUUAUUGGAUCAUGACACCAAUGCUCUCACAUUACAAGAUCUCGACAUCACUUGCAAGGCAAUUGAUGUUGCGACUUCAUGUCAUUCUGCUAAUGACAGGGCCAUACUCAAAUCAAAGUGAACUAAAGAGUUUGAUAGCGCCGUUCGAACAGUGACUUUUAUGGUUCGGCAUGCUUGGCACUUUUUCCCCUGGGUCCAAUGAAACAAACAUGCCCAAUGUGCGAACUGGGACAUGUUUUAUUUUCUUUUUCCCUCUUUGAUGCAUCUAUGAUGAGCUUGGAUACUUCUUUUGAAAGAAAUUUUUUUUUUCUUCUGUUACUUUCUAGAGCACAAUUUUUUUUUCACAUGUUUUAAUGUUUUUUUUUCCAGUUUCUUUUAUUUUUGUGUUCUUUUACAGUUUUACUGAUCAUUGAUUUUCUAAAGCUACUAGCUUUGUAUAGAUCACAAAUUUGUGCUGCAAGUUUCGUUAUUCUGUUUCAUGCCAGUAAAUUUUGACAAUUAUCUUCUCUUGUGCUUUUACUUCAUUCUCAAUGUACUUACUGAUGUGACUAGUGACUUCUUUAUCUUGUAAUCUAGAGUAAUUCACUUCCUAUGCUGACUUAUUAAGGGUUAUACUUGGUUGAAUGAUACGAAGGAAUUUCUAGCUUAGAAUGUAAAUAACAACUUAGGUACUUCAUUGAAAACCUUCAUCCUCUAGUGAAAGCUAGUUGGUUCACUUCGAGUGUAAGAGCUUGCUAGCUUGAGAAUAAGUAAUAAAAUUUUGUGGAUUUGGACCAUUUGCUAAACCUCUUGGUUGCUUUAAAUAUCUGUCCAACUAUGCAUGCACAUAAAACUUCAUAUUAGCUUUGAAAUCCACUCGGGUGAACUAAUUAGUUGUUGCAGAAAUUUCUUUUUUUAAAAUUUUAUAUGUUAUCUGCUUUAACUUUUUCUGCUUGGAUAUCUGCAAUUUCAGGCAGUUGGAUCACAUUGUUCUUGUACAUUACAGAGAUGUCAAUGAGGUGAUUUUCAGGCCCUUUUUCACCAGCAGCUAUUCACAUAAUUCUGUAAUCUUUAGUGAGUUCUGUAAAGUACCUAAUAUUGUAAAAGAAACAAUAGCAUCAAACAUAUUUGGUUCAUUUUCAGAUGUUUCUAUUUGAUGGCUUUCUGGCUGACCCUCAUGCUGCGGAACUUGACUAUUGUUUUUAAUGGAUCAACUUAUUCCACAAUUACAUCUGAACUCUUUUUUUUUUUUUUUUUUGAUCUCUUGGAACUGCCAUAACAUAUGUAUAUUUGGGUUCUGGUUCUUGGCAAUUGAAUGCACUCUAGUCCGUAUUUCUUCUAAUCUCCAUCAUGAUGGAUAGUAUACUUCAUCUAUUGGAGGCUAUUAGAUUAACUUAACCAAACAGGCAAUUGCAAUCAGAAUAGAUAUCUGAUUCUUUUUUCAGUAUUGCUCUAUCAAGUAACAUCUUCUAAUUUUCUCUCUUUUAAUAUCCUUAGUGCUAGUUGAGGAAUUCCUGGCUCUUGGUUAACAACAUUUUGUGUGAACUCCAUGUAACAUAUUAUUUUGUCAUGUCUUAUAAUUCAUUAAUUAGUUAAUUCAUUUAUUUUCUCUCUUUCUCCAGGGUAGCAGACCGACCUUUUCACAUUUAUCAAAUACUGAACAAAACAGAGUGAAUCACAUGGAAGAAACUCAAGCAUCUACAUUCACCCACUUAAGUCCAUCGACAUUCACAUCACAAACGUCUUAUGUAUCGAGCCCUAGUGCUGCAGAUUGGAGUGGGCAGGCUCCAUCGUCCGAGCUUGAGGAUGCUGAUUCUGGUGAAGAGCUAGGUGGGGCUUCAGCUUCACACACUGAUUCUGUAUCAUGUCCAGGGUUUCAAUUUGCUUCUUUGCCUGGAGACACUGCCGUGAAGGACGGUAUUGUGAUUAACCAAUUUUACUCAAGAGAUUUUCCAGAUACUGCUGUCUCAAGUAGAUUGCUUGAUCCUUUGUUUUCAAGUCAGGUUUCUUUACAGAAUACUACAAUUGGUGUGAAGCAACAAAUCAGUGGUGCUCCCCAAGGUGAUGUUUGUACCUGAACAUAUCUGUUAACUUUUUAGUAUUUACAUUCAAGUUCAUUGCGGAAGAAAAUUGGUCAGGGAGGUAAGAAAAUUAACUUAACUUAUGGUGUUACACUAGCAAUCACGCAGACGUGUACUCAGGUGCACAUGCACAUAGAUACACGCUUACAUGAAACUGCACAUAUACUACUAGACUUAGCCAGACUUCUUUAGAAAGCACCGGCUACCGAUGCUUUGGGUUUUUUGUGUAUUGGAUUGGCUUUGUGGACAAAACACGUUGGCCUUAGAUGUGCACUUUACCAUGGUACAUCAAGAUCCCGUCGGUUGGCCACACUAAUGGAUCUUAAAGCUGAUUUGAUACACGAACAAACAACAGCUUGGGCAGCGGUGCUUCAUGAAAGCAUUUAUGUUGACUCAGAUAUACAUUUGUAUGUGCAAAAAAUUCAUGGUGAUUCAUUUGAUUUUGUGCCUAUAUUUUCCAUUAGCUCUAUGUUCUCUUAUUCUCAGUAACAUAACAACACACUUCUGCAGGUUCAUUUUGUGAAAAUGACCAUAAUUCUGCUGCAUCCAAGUGGGUAAACAUGACUAAGAAGGACGUUGACAUGAAGGAGCAAAAUAUUUCCUUCGAACCAACUGGACAUUCUGGUGACAUAUCUAGAAGAGUGAUAGAUGACCACACUGUUUUAAACUCUACUUUGGAUGACACAUUCAAUAUGUUACGUAAUGCUCAAUUAGAGAUACUUAUUGGUAAUGGCGAUAGAGAAAAUCAGGUAUAUUCUCUUGGUAUUAUAUUUUAUUUAUUUAUUUGCAUUAUUUUUAAUAUGGACUUCCAGUUUCAUUUGAUGUUUCUUCAGUAAGAUUGUUAUAAUAUUUCCCUUUGAGUUUAUAAGCUCAUCUCUCUCAUCAUGAGUCACCAGACCUUGUAUUUGUAAACUAAAUUGCUUGCAUCUUUUAUUAGUACUAAAACAAGAGAGGUGGUGGGGUCAUGAACCUUAUCUUCUGAAUAUGUUGGGUGGGUUUGGAGAGAUUUUCCAUGGUUUAUUAGUUUCUAACAUUACCGGCAUCGUGAUCGAGUGCCUGGUUGCAAUGAAGAAAAUGCUAAUGUAGACAUUUGUGGUUGUUGUUUUUAGUUGUCUGCUUUUAUUCAUAUCUCCUGUCAAGGAUGUUAGCAAAUUGCCUAAGGACUGUUUAUCCAUCAAUCCUCUUCUUAAAUUACUUAUCUGCAGAUCAUCUUUUAGAGGUUGAAGGUCAAAAUAUCAGAAAAACGAAGGUAGUAAUGUGAUAUUUUUGGUACGCCAAAAAAAAAAAGGUGCACGUAUCGGUAAUGUGCAAGUUAAUAUAAUACACCAUGUGCAUGCCACUUCUUUGUCAUAUAUUGCAUCAUACAAUCAUAUUUCCUGUCAAUAUUCUAUGGAAAUUAUCUUGUCAGUGCUAUCGUUAUUAAUGAAAUGCGGUUUCUUUAUACUAUACUAGACAGUAAUUUAAACCAUUCAAUCAUGUAAACAAGCACUUGCAUGUACAAUUUUAGCUAUUAUCUGCGGUAUUGAGAUAUUAUUGUACUAGAAUGACGAAGUUAUAAGUUAUUCCUUAUUCUUUGUGGAGAUAUGUAAUGACCCUAAAUAUUCAGUGUAUGCUAUCACAUUUUUCGUAAUUAUUGGCGCUUUGAGAAUCUAGAAAUAUACUGUGCAGAUCAAACAGGAGAAUGUUGUACACGUAGAUAGCCUUCAAGGCAGAAAUCAUUUAUUUGAUCACUCUAGUUAUA
rnacentral:lncRNA from 1 species